rnacentral:lncRNA from 1 species
CGGGCCCUGCACAGCGCCCUGGGGAAGCUGGUUUGAAAGCUCUGGAGCGACCCCAAUGCCGGGGAGCCCUGGAGGGAGGGUGAAGCCGCGCGUGCAGGAGGAACCUCCUUUUGGCGAGUUCAGGCCCCGCAGCUGCGGAGAUAUUUACGUAAUUUCGAAGCAGCUCUUCACAAAAUAUUCAUCAGUUACAGAAGGAAGUCACUUCACAGUGGAAAAAUCUGGCAGGUGCCACCUUAAUCAAGUAACCAAAAUGAACAUCAUCAGUAAUAGGACAAAUUGCAAUCGUGUGCCUCCUGAUAGU